GGAAAUUAAAAGUGAACUGCCAGAAUUAAAAAGAUUGGAGGAUUAAGUUGAGAAACUCAAACAGAACAGAGAGCAAAAAGAUAGUCUGAAUGUGUGGCAGAAAAGUGUGCUGGAACUUCUCCACUGGUAUCGUGCCACCGCACUCCAGCCUGGGUGACAGAGCAAGACUCCAUCUCAAAAACAACAAAAACAAAAACUUCUCCACUGGACUCCCAGACUCCCACUAUUCAUGAGUACUUGUCAAAACUGAUGCCUCUGCAAAAGAAUAACAGUAGAAAGCUUCUAUUCUGUCAACUUGCUGACAUCCCAAAGCUGGUUUAUUAAGA
rnacentral:lncRNA from 1 species